UGGACAUUUGGGUUGUUUCCAACUCUUGGGUGUUGUGAAUAAUGCUGCCAUGAACAAAGAUGUAUAGCUGUUUUGGUGCGUUUUGUAUGGCUAGAAACAAAAUCGCUAGAAUACAGAAUAAAUUCAACUUUAGAAGACAUUAUGCUCCGUACUGAAGAUUCCAAUAUUAAUUGCUCAUGACCUCCUCCUUUGAGUAGCAUGGAAUCUAGACAGAGAGACCACUUCAUCAAAAAAAAAAAAUCUCUAACACAAUGGGGCAAAUACAAGGGGAACUCAAAGGGAGGAGGAACGAUCUCAGCUUGAGUAAGAAGAUGCUGUGUCAGAGAAGGCUGUGUUUGAAUGGAGUGUUGAAAGGUGACUGGAGGGUGAGCAGGAGGAAGAAAUGUAAGCAUCGAGGUGCACCUAUCCAGAGAGAAGGUUCAUGCUGAGUCUCAUGAAGGCUUGAAGGCUGUUUGGUUUUGAUAAAGUUGUAAUUUGAAAUCAGUUCAUGCAAAAAUAAAAGAAUAAAACUAUUUCUAUGAAGAAUAUUUUGUAAGUUGUCUUUUAAUAAGUGAAGUUUAUUUUUUAAAAACUCUAAAUAUAAAGAAAGGCAAGCAAAAAUAUUGGAAAUUGUGAACCCAUAAUUACCUAUGGUUAUAUUUUGAUGUACGUGUAUGCAUUCCUCUAAAUACCGUAAGCUCCUCUAGAACAAGAGCCAUCUCUUAUGUUUCUUUGUAUCCUCAGGGUCUCACACACUGCUGUACACUGAGUGGGUACUUAAUAAAUUGUUAAUGAUUUAUGUAUCCAUUCAAUUCAUUGAAUUGUUAGCAUGUUCUGUGA
rnacentral:lncRNA from 1 species